rnacentral:tRNA from 1 species
UAGAAUGAAGCUCGCUGGAUUGAGCUUUUAGCUGUUAACUAAAAUAUUGCGGGAUCAAGGCCCGUCUUUCUAG